rnacentral:lncRNA from 1 species
GUCAGGGAGUCAGCAAGUACAUGAGUCACCUUGUCCCUGGCUGCCAGCCUAAGUGGACAUGCUGAGCUCUCGGGAAAGAGAGAAUGCGUAAUGGGAUCUGGGAGCCACUGAGUCAAGAUUGAGUCUGACUGAGGCAGCUACCUCUGUACACACUUCCACAUGUUUUUUUUUUUUUUUUUCCUGGAGAUGAACUCUCUUUGUUUGGAGACCCUUCCUGACUGACUACAGCUGGUCUCAAGCUGACCAUUACCCUCUGUGGAUUAUUACAGGAAAUGGGACAGGGUAAGGCAGGCAAGAAACCUCAAAGAAUUCUUGACUGCUUCUUGGAAUCCAAUUCUCCAGGUCUGUGC